CCUACGGGUGGCAGCAGUGGGGAAUAUUUCACAAUGGAGGGAACUCUGAUGCAGCGACGCCGCGUGAGUGAAGACGUAAUUCGUUAUGUAAAGCUCUAUCAGCGGGGAAGAAAGUGACGGUACCUUAAACAGAAGCUACGGCUAAAUACGUGCCAGCAGCCGCGGUAAUACGUGUGGAGCAAGCGUUAUCCGGAUUUCCUGGGAGUAAUGGGAGAGGAGGUGGCAGAGCAAGUCCGACGUGAAAACCCAAAGCUCAACUAUGGGAAUGCUUUAGAAACUGCUCAGCUAGAGUGCAGGAGAGGGAAGUAGAAUGCGUGGUGUAGCGGUGAAAUGCGUAGAGAUUAGGAGGAACACCAGUGGCGAAGGCGGCUUGCUGGACUGUAACUGACACUGAGGCUCGAAAGCGUGGGGAGCAAACAGGAUUAGAUACCCUUGUAGUC
rnacentral:rRNA from 1 species